UACGGAGGAUGCGAGCGUUAUCCGGACUUAUUGGGUUUAAAGGGUGCGUAGGCGGUUUUUUAAGUUAGUGGUUAAACGUCGGGGCUUCACCUUGAUUUGCCAUUAAUACUGUAAGACUCGAGUUCAGACGAGGUAGGCGGAAUAAGUUAAGUAGCGGUGAAAUGCUUAGAUAUCAGGAGGAACACCGGCGGCGAAGGCGGCCUGCUGGACCGCGACUGACGUUGAGGCUCGAAAGCGUGGGGAGCAAACAGG
rnacentral:rRNA from 1 species